rnacentral:rRNA from 1 species
GACGAACGCUGGCGGCGUGCUUAACACAUGCAAGUCGAACGGAAAGGCCUGCUUUCCCUUGUGGAUUGCGGGUACUCGAGUGGCGAACGGGUGAGUAACACGUGAGUGAUCUGCCCCCAACUUGGGUAUAAGCCUGGGAAACUGGGUCUAAUUCCCGAUAGGACUGCAGGGUGGUGCCUGUGGUGGAAAACGAUUUUCUAGUGGUUGGGGAUGAGCUCGCGGCCUAUCAGCUUGUUGGUGGGGUAAUGGCCUACCAAGGCGGCGACGGGUAGCCGGCCUGAGAGGGUGGACGGCCACAUUGGGACUGAGAUACGGCCCAGACUCCUACGGGAGGCAGCAGUGGGGAAUAUUGCACAAUGGGCUGAAGCCUGAUGCAGCGACGCCGCGUGGGGGAUGACGGCCUUCGGGUUGUAAACUCCUUUCGACCGCGAGGAAGCCACCUGGUUGGAAGGGUGGUGACGGUAGUGGUAGAAGAAGCACCGGCUAACUACGUG